GACGAACCGUGCGAACGUUGUUCGGAAUCACUGGGCUUAAAGGGCGCGUAGGCGGCUUGCCAAGUCAGGGGUGAAAUCCAGCAGCUUAACUGUUGAAGUGCCUUUGAUACUGGCGAGCUCGAGGGAGGUAGGGGUCUGUGGAACUUCUGGUGGAGCGGUGAAAAUGCGUUGAUAUCAGAAGGAACGCCGGUGGCGAAAGCGACGGACCUGGACCUCUUCUGACGCGUGAGGCGACGAAAAGGCUAGGGGGAGCAAAACGGGG
rnacentral:rRNA from 1 species